rnacentral:rRNA from 1 species
AACGAACGCUGGCGGCAUGCCUAACACAUGCGAGUCGAACGAGACCUUCGGGUCUAGUGGCGCACGGGUGCGUAACGCGUGGGAACCUGCCCUUAGGUUCGGAAUAACUCCCCGAAAGGGGUGCUAAUACCGGAUAAUGUCUUCGGACCAAAGAUUUAUCGCCUUUGGAUGGGCCCGCGUUGGAUUAGCUAGUUGGUAGGGUAAAAGCCUACCAAGGCGACGAUCCAUAGCUGGUCUGAGAGGAUGAUCAGCCACACUGGGACUGAGACACGGCCCAGACUCCUACGGGAGGCAGCAGUGGGGAAUAUUGGACAAUGGGCGAAAGCCUGAUCCAGCAAUGCCGCGUGAGUGAUGAAGGCCUCAGGGUUGUAAAGCUCUUUUACCCGGGAUGAUAAUGACAGUACCGGGAGAAUAAGCUCCGGCUAACUCCGUG